rnacentral:tRNA from 1 species
GUCAGGAUGGCCGAGCGGUCUAAGGCGCUGCGUUCAGGUAGCAGUCUCCCUGGGGAGGCGUGGGUUCGAAUCCCACUUCUGACA